rnacentral:rRNA from 1 species
UACGAAGGGGGCUAGCGUUUGGCUCGGAAUCACUGGGCGUAAAGCGCACGUAGGCGGAUUGUUAAGUCAGGGGUGAAAUCCUGGAGCUCAACUCCAGAACUGCCUUUGAUACUGGCGAUCUCGAGUCCGGGAGAGGUGAGUGGAACUGCGAGUGUAGAGGUGAAAUUCGUAGAUAUUCGCAAGAACACCAGUGGCGAAGGCGGCUCACUGGCCCGGUACUGACGCUGAGGUGCGAAAGCGUGGGGAGCAACAGGG